GACGAACACUGGCGGCGUGCUUAACACAUGCAAGUCGAACGGAAAUGCCCUGCUUUUGUGUGGUGCUCGAGUGGGGAACGGGUGAGUAACACGUGAGUAACCUCCCCUUGACUUUGGGAUAACUUCAGGAAACUGGGGCUAAUACCGCACAGGAGCCCCUGUGGCAUGGUGGUGGUUGGAAAGUUUCGGCGGUUGGGGCUGGGCUCGCGGCUUAUCAGUUUGUUGGUGGGGUAGUGGCUUUCCAAGGCUUUGACGGGUAGCUGGCCUGAGAGGGUGACCGGCCACAUUGGGACUGAGAUACGGCCCAGACUCCUACGGGAGGCAGCAGUGGGGAAUAUUGCACAAUGGGCGGAAGCCUGAUGCAGCAACGCCGCGUGCGGGAUGACGGCCUUCGGGUUGUAAACCGCUUUCGCCUGUGACGAAGCGUGAGUGACGGUAAUGGAUAAAGAAGCACCGGCUAACUACGUG
rnacentral:rRNA from 1 species